UCCAAAAAUAGUUUAGAUGAAAAAACUCUUGAAAAUUCAUUUAUUUCAAUAUUGUCUCAUUUUAUGCUUUUAUUUGAUUGAUAUUAUUAUUUUUCUUCUAAUUGUUUGUUACUUAUUUUUGUAGACACCACACUUUAAAUAAAACUUAUCUAAAUAUACAUUUAAAAAAUAUUAGUGGAGAUGAUUGAUUUUUUAGAAGCCUCAUUUAGUUUUGUAUUUCUAAGAAUUCUUGUUAUCAAUAGACCGGUUACAUGAAGAAGCCUUACAAUUUUGUUUUGUAUAGAAGACCACUAGAAAUUAAUUGAAGCAUGUUUAAGAAUAUAUCACCACACAACCACUGAUCUAAUGGCAUAUGGGUCUUUCAAUGAAAAUUCAAUUAAGAUUUUAUCUCAAGCCUUGCCAUUGGUCUAGGUAAUCUAGUUGGUGUAUCGUUUUGUAUCUUGAGAAUGUUGGAAACAAUAGGACUGAUCAAGUACACUUUUGUGCUUCUUAUUUAGUAGAUUGCCUAUGAAUAAUCAAGUGGCAUGCCCACAAGGAUGGAAGAGAAAAUAGGUUGUAUACCCCUUCCCACUAGUGAUUUGUUCAUUAUAAUUUAGAGGGAAAUGAUCUCCCAAUGGAUGUACAAUUAUUCUAUAUAUUGUGGUGUGCAUACCAUUUCUACAUUUAAAAGUUAUUUUUCAUAUUUGAACUAUAAAUUUUGAUGUAUAGAAAUUUCCCAUUCAUAUAUUUCAAACCAUGAAUCUUAUAUAUUAAACAUUAGACAAUGUUAAACCAUAAUAUAUGAUCUGUAUUAGUUUAUGAAGCUUCUACUCUUAAUUCUAAAUCAUUUUUGUUUUGUAUGUAAUCUUGUGAUAGGUAUAUAUGAUGGUUUCUUAAAUUUCUAUUUACUAUAGUGCCAUGAGUUGCAAAGUUCUAUUAGGGUAUAUAAAGAUCUUUUGUCUACAUUAUAUCCCUUAGUUUUAUUAUUUAUUAUUAUCACUUAUUUCUUUCUAUCUUCAAAUGGAUUAGUUAUAGGAUAUAUAUGUUGAUUAGAGCAAGUUUUCUAUAGUUUGGUUAGCGUCUUAUAAUAUUAUUUCAUUUAUGAUAGUUUUCAAUACGAACAUAUGUGUAUCCACUAAUCUUCUUGUAUGGAUUUACUUGGAUGUUAUAUUAUUCAAGAAUUCAUUGGUCAUUGAAUUAUUUCAAUGAAUAAUAAGCAAACUUGCAUAGAUUAUGUGAGGCCCUAAUAAGAACAUUUUCUUAAUUAUCAUGAAAGGAAAAAAUGUAUUUUUUAUUUUUUUAAAUGUUUUAAGUUAGUCUACCAAUUUCUAUACUAAAAGUAUAAACAUAAUUUGAAUCAUAUAUAUAUAUUUUUUAAAUUCUAUAAUUUAUGAAAAGUUUAAUUUAUUAAGUUUUAGUUUUGUGAUUUAUUAUCAAAUAUAAUUACUAUUAUAAAUGGAAAUUAAAUAUUUUUUUGGUGCUCAUGACCCAAAUCUCCCACCAAGACCCUUGGCCAAACCUAUGGUGGAGCAUGUUAUUAUUCCUUCCAUUAUGAAGGAGAGUAUUGAGGUUGAAACUCUAGACUCGAUUAGCUCACUCACUCAGACCCUUAUACAGUAUGCUAGGCCCCUAGUAGAGGGUGAUGCGAGUGAUGAUGUUGAUUCUUCUAGGCAUCGAGUUCCAGCUCAUUUUUGUCAAUCUUGUGGUUCUCUUUGCACUUAUGAUCCUAAUAGUUCUGAGAAUGCAUGUGCACGAGCGGAGUUUGCUACAGAGAACAUUGUCAUGACAUAAUCCUUGUUGAACGAAACAUUUGGCAUUGAUACCCAGGGUCAAAGUUUUCACAAUACUAGCAACAUUUUUGCAGCACCCUUUUUCAUGACUUCGUCGACUCCACAGUUCGAUGCUAGAGCUUCAACAUCAACACCUUGCAGUGUAUUUCAUUGACAAUCUUUCACCUAGAUGUUGGCAUCAAAGACUCCCCCUGCUGUUUGUGCAUCAAUGGAGUGUGAUGUUGCUGUAGUAGUAGCAAGUUCAACUGCUUUAACAGAAGAGGGGCUUGUCACUCCAGAUCAUGAACGUGCACCUGUUGUGGAUGAACAUCAUGAUUAUUUGUAUGCGGUGGAGUUACAAAAAAGUCUGGAGAGGAGGUCGAGUGGACAAACUCGAAAGACACCUGCAUCAUAUACAUCUCCAUCCCCUCGACAGGCAAAGAUAUCUCAUGAUCUGUUUCCUUCCCCUAGAGGGAAAUGAAUAGAAUAGGGUCCUAUGUUGUAUGCCUAUAUGGAAAUUUUGAACAUACGUUUUGUAUUACGAAUAUGUGACAUUCUAUCUCCAUAUGGCUUUUGGCAAGCUCCUUUGACUU